rnacentral:rRNA from 1 species
UACGGAGGGGGCUAGCGUUGUUCGGAAUUACUGGGCGUAAAGCGCACGUAGGCGGCUUUGUAAGUUAGAGGUGAAAGCCCAGGGCUUAACUCUGGAAUUGCCUUUAAGACUGCAUCGCUAGAAUCGUGGAGAGGUGAGUGGAAUUCCGAGUGUAGAGGUGAAAUUCGUAGAUAUUGGGAAGAACACCGGUGGCGAAGGCGGCUCACUGGCUCGUAACUGACGCUCAUGCACGACAGCGUGGGGAUCAAACAGG